CGCAUCUGUGCAUGCAGCAUAUCAAUAAGCGGAGGAAAAGAAACUAACAAGGAUUCCCUUAGUAACGGCGAGUGAAGCGGGAAGAGCUCAAAUUUGAAAUCUUCAAGGUUUUACCUUGACGAAUUGUAGUUUAAAGAAGUGUUUUCUGUUGAAGUUUUGGUAAAAGUUCUUUGGAAUAGGACAUCAUAGAGGGUGAGAAUCCCGUAUUUGACCAUUAUUUUCAGCUGUGUGAUACACCUUCAAAGAGUCGGAUUGUUUGGGAAUGCAGUCCAAAAUGGGUGGUAAGUUUCAUCUAAAGCUAAAUAUUGGCGAGAGACCGAUAGCGAACAAGUACCGUGAGGGAAAGAUGAAAAGAACUUUGAAAAGAGAGUUAAACAGUACGUGAAAUUGUCAAAAGGGAAGCGUUUGACACCAGUGUUGUUUUCUCGAAAAUCAAUUAAAAAGAGUUAGAUUUUGUUGUGUAUUGACCUUAACAGCUUGCAUUUCAAUUUUCUUACUUUUUUUAAUGCACUUUUCGUUUAACAAGUCAACAUCAGUUUCUUUUGUUGUAAAAAGGUCAUUGGAAGGUGGCUUUCUUUUCGGAGAAAGUGUUUAUAGCCUUUGACUCCUGCAAUCGGAGAGACUGAGGUCUGCAGCGUAGAUCCUUCGGGGUUAGAUACAUUUGUGCUAAGUUAUAGCUUUUUAUAGACAACUUGUUGACUAUGAUUAGUCUUGUAGCUUACUCGCUUAUGCUAUUUUACCUACGCUUAGGAUGUUGACACACGCGCGUGCUCG
rnacentral:rRNA from 1 species